rnacentral:rRNA from 1 species
UAAAUGAAGACCAGAACAAAAGAUUAAACGUUUAAAUUUAUUUUUUUAUUUAAAAACUUUAAAUUUUCUUAAAUGUAAAAAGACAUUUAUAAAAAAGAAAGACGACAAGACCCUAUUGAACUUAACUUCAGUUUAACUGGGGCAGUUAAUUAAUAAUCACUUUAAUUAAAAUAUAUUUCAAAAAAUCCAAUUACAUUGAUAUCUAAUCAAGUUACCAUAGGGAUAACAGCGUAAUAGUUCUUUAAAGCUCUUAUUUAAACAAAAGAUUACAACCUCGAUGUUGAAUUAAUUACCUAAUCUCGCGCAAAAGCAAGCCAAGGAAGUCUGUUCGACUUUUAAAAAAUUACAUGAUUUGAGUUCAGACCGGCAUAAGCCAGGUCGGUUUCUAUCUUCUAUUUUAAUUCUUACAGUACGAAAGGGCCCAAGAAAUUAAUUUAAUUAAUCUAUUGGCAGAAAAAUGCAUUAGAAUUAGAAUCUAAUUAACUAAAGAUCCCAUUUAUUAUCUCAUUUUUAAUUAUUACAAUUAGA